rnacentral:misc_RNA from 1 species
CGCUGUCGUACACUUCACGACAGCGUCCCCUCGUGCUCUUCCUCUUUGGAUCCUCUGCAUAAUUACUUCCUCGAUGUCUGUGCCACCCCCGCCCCCGGCGGCGAUACCGCUGCCUUCGUUAGCAACCGCGGUUCCGCUACCGCCCUCUUGCGUUGUGCCGCCUCCUCCAUCCGCGUCAGCUGCCCCGCCCCCUCCACCCAUGGCCACCGUUCCUCUGCCGCCUGCGGAGGCCACGCCGCCGCCACCGUCCGCGCCGUUGAUUCCGCCUCCACCAGCAAGCGUCAUUCCUCUGCCACAGCCGCCAGGUAUCAAUGCAGCCGUAUCGGCAGCACCACCACCACCCUCAGCGAUCGCUGCGGCCCCGCUGCUUCCGGAAGCCUCACCCCCUCCUCCAACAAGUACGGUGGCCCCACCUCCACCCGUGCAGGCAGCACCAGCGUUGGCAGAGCCACCACCUGUGCAGCCCAUCUCCGUUGAGGCAUGGCGGACCCUAGAAGGCGCCACCCGCGAGCCGGUGCCAAACUUGGCGGCCACCCGCUACCUAGCGGUGGAGGAGCGGGUGCGAGAUGAGGUGUGUCGGCUCUUUAUCCUCUCCGAAUACGAUGUUGGUACCCUCAUGGUAAACAUCGUCCAAAGCCUCCAGCACGUGGGGCGUCAUGACGUGGGUCUGCUGCGGAACGAUAACAGCACCGCCUUCACCAUCACCCAGUCUACCGCGCACGCGCGGCAGGGGGAUACGCUGGUGGAGCAGCGGCGCCACGCUGUUGCCGAUGCGAUCGAGCGCAUCAACCAGGCUGGCAGCGAUGCCGAGCGCGCGUUUGCUGAGGUAGCGCAACGUGUGGCAGCAACUGCACCGCCGGCAGCACCAGCGAAGGAUGCCCCCACCGCUGCAGCGCCAGCGUUCCGCAAGAGCGCCUACGAACUGCUGAUGGAGCAAAUCGCAGCCACUCGCCGCGGGCGCAGUCCGCAGAACCGUCGCAUCGCCUCUCCGGAGGAGCGGCCGAAGCGCGCAGCGGGUGGGGCGGGGUGUGUCGAGUACCCCACCUCCUACAACGGUAGCUAUCUGCUGCGGCGCUACGGGGGCACGUACGAUCCGCAGCGCCAAUACAGUCAUUACCGCUACUACGGCUUUCCUCCAUCGAAGUGAGGCGUUUCUUUUCUUUACGCAGCGUGGAGGCGUACCAGAGCACGACGCACACACGCGCGAAGACAGUCAGUGUGGCGCACCAACAGCGUGGUGGUGGAAAGGAGUGGGUGGUGCGCACCGCAAAUCUCUAGAACUGCAUAGAUAGACCUCGCGUUCUCCUUGCUCCCCUCGCCCCCUCCUCCCUCCCCCACCGCACAAACAUGCCUGUACGUGCUUGUGUGUGUCUGCCUCGGUGUGCAUGGUUGUGCAGACGCGCGGUGUGAAGCCGGAUUAGAAGGAAGCGGCGAUGUGUCAGAGAUACAGCAUGCAUCGGGAGAUGCAGAUAGAUUGUGACUCGCAUAGCGCGCCUCUUGCUUAACGGGCCAGUGCGUUUGGUAGAUGACACCUGCUGCGCGCUCAACACACCGGAAAAAAGCAGUUCUGUAGAAGAGCCAUCCCCCGCAAGCCUCUAUUGGUGGGGCUCCAUUGCCAUGCGUUGUGUGCCCUCGACUCAUCCUCGAUGGGCUCCAGCAAGCUAUGCCUUCCGACAGCCCGCAUCCACACACACACACACACACACACACACACAGUGCUGCGGGAGCGCCGUUUCAAGCACGAGACGCCGCUCCCCAGCGCUUUCUCCUUUUCGUUCUGCUUCGAAAGGCGCUCUUGUCGGUGUUACUUGUGGAGCUGUCUGCCCAGAGCCCACUCUACCCCCUCACUUCGCUCCACGCCCUCUCUCGCUCGAUCCUGGUAG